GGCCCCGUGGCGGAAUUUGGUAGACGCACGCGACUUAAAAUCGCGAGCCUAUGGCGUGAGGGUUCGAGUCCCUCCGGGGCCA
rnacentral:tRNA from 1 species